ACAUCAAUGGGGUAGGGGUAACCUUGGUCGUUGCCAUUGAUCAGCCGUGAGUUCAACUCUCGCUUGAAGCA